rnacentral:lncRNA from 1 species
GUGGUAGUCAGGUAGUGAGGGGUAGUCAGGUAGUGAGGGGUAGUCAGGUAGUGAGUGUUAGUAUGGUAGUCAGGUAGUUAGUGGUAGUAUGGUAGUGAGUGGUAGUAUUGUAGUGAGUGGUAGUGAGUGGUUUUAUGGUAGAGAGGUAGGGAGUGGUAGUCAGUGGUAGUCAUUGGUUGAGUGGUAGUCAGGUAGUGAGUGGUAGUCAGGUAGUGAGUGGUAGUGAGGUAGUGAGUGGUAGUGAGGUAGUGAGUGGUAGUGAGGUAGUGAGUGGUAGUCAGGUAGUGAGUGGUAGUAUGGUAGUCAGGUAGUUAGUCGUAGUAUGGUAGUGAGUGGUAGUAUGGUAGUGAGUGGUAGU